rnacentral:rRNA from 1 species
UCUAUSCGCUAKCAUACACUGCAGUCGACGAUGAUCCCAGCUUGCUGGGGGAUUAGUGGCGAACGGGUGAGUAACACKUGAGUAACCUGCCCUUGACUCUGGGAUAAGCCUGGGAAACCGGGUCUAAUACUGGAUAUGACCUUCUGGCGCAUGCCAUGUUGGUGGAAAGCUUUAUUGCGGUUUUGGAUGGACUCGCGGCCUAUCAGCUUGUUGGUGGGGUAAUGGCCUACCAAGGCGACGACGGGUAGCCGGCCUGAGAGGGUGGACGGCCACACUGGGACUGAGACACGGCCCAGACUCCUACGGGAGGCAGCAGUGGGGAAUAUUGCACAAUGGGCGCAAGCCUGAUGCAGCGACGCCGCGUGGGGGAUGAAGGCCUUCGGGUUGUAAACCUCUUUCAGUAGGGAAGAAGCGAAAGUGACGGUACCUGCAGAAGAAGCGCCGGCUAACUACGUGCCAGCAGCCGCGGUAAUACGUAGGGCGCAAGCGUUAUCCGGAAUUAUUGGGCGUAAAGAGCUCGUAGGCGGUUUGUCGCGUCUGCCGUGAAAGUCCGGGGCUUAACCCCGGAUCUGCGGUGGGUACGGGCAGACUAGAGUGAUGUAGGGGAGACUGGAAUUCCUGGUGUAGCGGUGAAAUGCGCAGAUAUCAGGAGGAACACCGAUGGCGAAGGCAGGUCUCUGGGCAUUAACUGACGCUGAGGAGCGAAAGCAUGGGGAGCGAACAGGAUUAGAUACCCUGGUAGUCCAUGCCGUAAACGUUGGGCACUAGGUGUGGGGGACAUUCCACGUUUUCCGCGCCGUAGCUAACGCAUUAAGUGCCCCGCCUGGGGAGUACGGCCGCAAGGCUAAAACUCAAAGGAAUUGACGGGGGCCCGCACAAGCGGCGGAGCAUGCGGAUUAAUUCGAUGCAACGCGAAGAACCUUACCAAAGCUUGACAUGAACUGGAACAGCGCAGAGAUGUGUUGGCCGCUUGCGGCCCGGUUUACAGUGGUGCAUGGUUGUCGUCAGCUCGUGUCGUGAGAUGUUGGGUUAAGUCCGCACGAGCGCACCCUCGUUCUAUGUUGCCAGCGCGUUAUGCUGGACUCAUAGAGACUGCCGGGCUCAACUCGGAAGGAGUGGGACGACGUUCAUUCAUCAUGUCCAUUWAUGUUCUUGGGGCCUCA